CAGAUCCGCGCUGAACCGUUUAAUUCAAACUUCAAUAGAUUUCGACAAAAAAUUCCGCGCAUUGGUCGACGUGGGCAUGGCAUCAUCGCCGAAGACAUGAAUCCGGAUUCUUUUCCUCAUGAUGGAAGUCUAUCCAAUUUUUUUUUGAAGGCCUCAAAGGCGAUGCCUUGUCUGGGUAGACGCAAAGAUGUUUCUACUGAGUCGGGUCACGCAACAAUCAUCGGCGAGCAGUAUCCAUUUAGAGACCGCUUGGGUCUUGGCCAUGCAUCCAACGAAGUUCCCACUGUUCACUAUAAACAAGAUUUAUGGCCAAAUUUCGAUACUAUUUAAUUCACA